GCCCGUAUAGCUCAGUUGGUAGAGCAUUGUACUUAUGAGGUUAACCUAAACACCCUAUGCAGUUGUCUGGAGUUCGAGCCUCCAUAUGGGCA